CUUGCACUCUGAGCUGGUGAAACAGUACAAUCAAAUGUUUCUGUAUAAAAAGUGUUUCAUUGGACAUUGGAGAGGGAAGGAGUGAUGUCAGAUGGGGUGUGCAAACCAGAACAAUAAAUUUUAGAAAUUGUAUGCAGCCAAUGGGAGCCAAGAAGAUUAUUAAUUCAGUCUACCACUUACUCUAUGCAAUUCUAUCAAUAUACUUUACUUUAUUCAAUCAAAACAACUACUGAAACAUCCCUACCAACUCAAUACGAU